rnacentral:misc_RNA from 1 species
GAUGAAGAACGUAGCGAAAUGCGAUAAGUAAUGUGAAUUGCAGAAUUCAGUGAAUCAUCGAGUCUUUGAACGCACAUUGCGCCCUCUGGUAUUCCGGAGGGCAUGCCUGUCCGAGCGUCAUUGCUGCCCUCAAGCACGGCUUGUGUGUUGGGCCCCGCCCCCCGAUCCCGGGGGGCGGGCCCGAAAGGCAGCGGCGGCACCGCGUCCGGUCCUCGAGCGUAUGGGGCUUUGUCACCCGCUCUGUAGGCCCGGCCGGCGCUUGCCGAUCAACCAAACUUUUUUCCAGGUUGACCUCGGAUCAGGUAGGGAUACCCGCUGAACUUAAGCAUAUCAAUAAGCGGAGGA